rnacentral:tRNA from 1 species
AGGGUUGUGGCUCAGCGGUAGAGCGCUUACUUAGCAUGUGAGAGGCCCUGGGUUCAAUCCUCAGCACCACAU